GUAAACGAUGUCGACUUGGAGGUUGUGCCCUUGAGGCGUGGCUUCCGGAGCUAACGCGUUAAGUCGACCGCUGGGGAGUACGGCCGCAAGGUUAAAACUCAAAUGAAUUGACGGGGGCCCGCACAAGCGGUGGAGCAUGUGGUUUAAUUCGAUGCAACGCGAAGAACCUUACCUGGCCUUGACAUCCAGAGAACUUAGCAGAGAUGCUUUGGUGCCUUCGGGAACUCUGAGACAGGUGCUGCAUGGCUGUCGUCAGCUCGUGUUGUGAAAUGUUGGGUUAAGUCCCGCAACGAGCGCAACCCUUAUCCUUUGUUGCCAGCGAUUCGGUCGGGAACUCAAAGGAGACUGCCGGUGAUAAACCGGAGGAAGGUGGGGAUGACGUCAAGUCAUCAUGGCCCUUACGGCCAGGGCUACACACGUGCUACAAUGGCGCAUACAAAGAGAAGCGACCUCGCGAGAGCAAGCGGACCUCAUAAAGUGCGUCGUAGUCCGGAUUGGAGUCUGCAACUCGACUCCAUGAAGUCGGAAUCGCUAGUAAUCGUAGAUCAGAAUGCUACGGUGAAUACGUUCCCGGGCCUUGUACACACCGCCCGUCACACCAUGGGAGUGGGUUGCAAAAGAAGUAGGUAGCUUAACCUUCGGGAGGGCGCUUACCACUUUGUGAUUCAUGACUGGGGUGAAGUCGUAACAAGGUAACCA
rnacentral:rRNA from 1 species